AGUUGCCAUCAGGUCAAGCUGGGGACUCUAAUGAAACUGCCUACGCAAGUAGUGAGGAAGUGGGGGAUGACGUCAAAUCAGCACGGCCCUUACGUCCAGGGCUACACACGUGCUACAAUGGCUGGAACAAAGGGAUGCGAAGCAGUGAUGUGGAGCGAAACCCAUAAAAACAGUCUCAGUUCGGAUUGAAGUCUGCAACUCGACUUCAUGAAGUCGGAAUCGCUAGUAAUCGCGGAUCAGAACGCCGCGGUGAAUACGUUCUCGGGGUUU
rnacentral:rRNA from 1 species